rnacentral:rRNA from 1 species
GACGAACGCUGGCGGCGUGCUUAACACAUGCAAGUCGAACGGAAAGGCCCUGCUUUUGUGGGGUGCUCGAGUGGCGAACGGGUGAGUAACACGUGAGUAACCUGCCCUUGACUUUGGGAUAACUUCAGGAAACUGGGGCUAAUACCGGAUAGGAGCUCCUGCUGCAUGGUGGGGGUUGGAAAGUUUCGGCGGUUGGGGAUGGACUCGCGGCUUAUCAGCUUGUUGGUGGGGUAGUGGCUUACCAAGGCUUUGACGGGUAGCCUGCCUGAGAGGGUGACCGGCCACAUGGGGACUGGGAUACGGCCCAGACCCCUACGGGGGGCAGCGGGGGGGAAUAUUGCCCAAGGGGGGGAAGCCGGAUGCAGCACCGCCGCGUGGGGGAUGAGGGCCUUGGGGUUGUAACCCGCUUUCGCCUGUGACGAAGCGUGGGUGACGGUAAUGGGUAAAGAAGCACCGGCUAACUACGU